rnacentral:rRNA from 1 species
UGGGGAAUUUUGGACAAUGGGGGCAACCCUGAUCCAGCCAUGCCGCGUGCGGGAAGAAGGCCUUCGGGUUGUAAACCGCUUUUGUCAGGGAAGAAAUCUCUUGGGCUAAUACCCCAGAAGGAUGACGGUACCUGAAGAAUAAGCACCGGCUAACUACGUGCCAGCAGCCGCGGUAAUACGUAGGGUGCAAGCGUUAAUCGGAAUUACUGGGCGUAAAGCGUGCGCAGGCGGUUAUGCAAGACAGGUGUGAAAUCUCCGGGCUUAACUCGGAACGGUCAGAUGAUACUGCUUUGCUAGAGUGCAGAAGGGGCAAUCGGAAUUCUUGGUGUAGCGGUGAAAUGCGUAGAUAUCUGGAGGAACACCGGUGGCGAAAGCGGCUCACUGGACCAUAACUGACGCUGAGGUGCGAAAGCUAGGGUAGCAAACGGGAUUAGAUACCCCCGUAGUCCCUGAGCGGGCUGGCAAGGCGCAU